rnacentral:rRNA from 1 species
UACGUAGGGUGCAAGCGUUGUCCGGAUUUAUUGGGCGUAAAGAGCGUGUAGGCGGCCAUACAGGUCCGUUGUGAAAACUGGAGGCUUAACCUCCAGACGUCGAUGGAAACCGUAUGGCUAGAGUCCGGAAGAGGAGAGUGGAAUUCCUGGUGUAGCGGUGAAAUGCGCAGAUAUCAGGAAGAACACCCGUGGCGAAGGCGGCUCUCUGGGACGGUACUGACGCUGAGACGCGAAAGCGUGGGGAGCGAACAGG